GGAGGCUGUUUCCUGCCGCACAGCCUGUGACCUUCACUCACGUCAGACGCCGGUCGCCCGCUUUCCUUUCCAUAAAUAACCCUCAUGUGAUUCCGGCGGCGGCACUCGGUACUGGUGGAGGAGUUCUCCUGUUGGGAAAUACAGAUUUCUACAAUAGAAGUCAACCUGCUUAAUUAUCUACACGUCUGACGUAGGAAAUAUAUUUCUCGUGUAUAUGUCACAAGAGGAAAGGCAAAAGCAAUAUGUGGCACCUCUUUCUACAUUUACUUUGACCCUCCAGUUUGAAGACCAAUAGUUUGAUGGAAAGACAACAGUUACAUUGAGACACAAGGGACUGCAGAUGAUGGAAUCUGAAGCAAAAACAAACAGCUGGAGAAACUCAGUGGAUCGAGC